GACGAACGCUGGCGGCGUGCUUAACACAUGCAAGUCGAACGAUGAAGCCGGAGCUUGCUCUGGUGAAUUAGUGGCGAACGGGUGAGUAACACGUGAGUAACCUGCCCUUGACUCUGGGAUAACUGCGGGGAACUGUAGCUAAUACCGGAUACGACCCUCGGAGGCAUCUCCUGGGGGUGGAAAGAAUUUCGGUCAAGGAUGGACUCGCGGCCUAUCAGCUGGUUGGUGAGGUAAAGGCUCACCAAGGCGACGACGGGUAGCCGGCCUGAGAGGGUGACCGGCCACACUGGGACUGAGACACGGCCCAGGCUCCUACGGGAAGCAGCAGUGGGGAAUAUUGCACAAUGGGCGCAAGCCUGAUGCAGCAACGCCGCGUGAGGGAUGACGGCCUUCGGGUUGUAAACCUCUUUUAGUAGGGAAGAAGCGAAAGUGACGGUACCUGCAGAAAAAGCACCGGCUAACUACGUGCCAGCCGCCGCCGUAA
rnacentral:rRNA from 1 species